GACGCUGGAGCUAAGGCCUGGAUUAGCACAAGCUAUCAAGUACUACAAGGAGACGAUUUAGUGGUCAAACGAAAUCACACUGUUAUCUCUACUAUCUCUCUACAUAUAUAGAGCCUAGGGAUAUGCUUUGCUUUGAUUCGCCUAUGACUAGCUAGACCUAUGACGCACCAUGUCUUUGGCUUUUCAAUGCUUUUCGACCGACGAUCGGCGAGACGGACGGACGGCCGGCCGCAACUGUGUUUCAACAGGAGGAAAGUUCUAUGACAAGCCAAAGCCUUGCCUGCUUGGUCGCUCCUUCUCCUUCUUUCAAAGUUAACUUAAUGUCUU
rnacentral:lncRNA from 1 species